rnacentral:tRNA from 1 species
GUGGGGAUAACUUAGUAGGGACAGUGUCAAAUUGAAGAUCUGAAGGUCAUGUGUUCGAUCCACGUUUAUCGCA